rnacentral:misc_RNA from 1 species
ACAAUUGACUGGAAAGCGCUGUCGCAAGACGGCAUUUCCGAUUUGUUUCUGUGCACUGGUUCUUGCUGCUAGCCUCGCAAGGGGUUGGCAGUUUGAAUGCCAAUUUGCUUUCUGUUUUUCUUUUUUUUUUUAAACUGUUUUUGCGCAAGUGAAAACAAAAAACUGUAACCAAGA